rnacentral:rRNA from 1 species
UACGUAGGGGGCUAGCGUUGUCCGGAAUCAUUGGGCGUAAAGCGCGUGUAGGCGGUCCGGUAAGUCCGCUGUGAAAGUCAGGGGCUCAACCCUCGGAUGCCGGUGGAUACUGUCGGGCUUGAGUACGGAAGAGGCGAGUGGAAUUCCUGGUGUAGCGGUGAAAUGCGCAGAUAUCAGGAGGAACACCAAUUGCGAAGGCAGCGCGCUGGGACGUUACUGACGCUGAGACGCGAAAGCGUGGGGAGCAAACAGG